UUCAGGAAUUACGAGGAAACUCUAGUGUGUUUGUUUAGAUCUUUGAAGUCAGCCAACAAAUUCCUCUCAACUUCCAAUUUUGAAGCCGGAGAUGGAGAAAGACGAGAGGAACCAAAGGACAAGCAAAACAAUAGAUUCAGAGCUGUUUCUACAGUGGGGAAACAGAAAGGGGCUAAGAUGCGUGAGAGUUAAAGACCCUCAGAAAAUAUCUCAUAAAUCGAAUGCUAUAGUUCGUAGAAGAAUCACUUGUCGUCUUUUUUGUAAAGAUUCAUCUCCCUCUUCUCGAUCCAAUCAUCGUCUGACUAGGAAUUCCGAGGCAGCUAUACUCCGGUCGACUACAACCGAGCACCAGAAAAACUCAUCACUAGAGAAGGAAGAUCGCUACUACACAACAAGGGGAUUGGCGGUGAGUCUAAUGGAUGAUAAUGGGAAGGUUGCAGUGGAUUGUAGUAAUGGAGAUCAUAACAAAGCACUAGUGUAAACCUUGUCAAGCAAAGAGAAAGAGGAGGAUUUUAUUGCGAUGAAAGGGUGUAAACCUCCCCAAAGACCUAAAAAGAGAGCCAAGAUCAUCCAAAGAAGCUUACUUUUGGUGAGCCCCGGUGCAUGGUUGACCGAUAUGUGCCAAGAGAGGUAUGAAGUUAGGGAAAAGAAGAGUUAUAAGAAGGUACGC